rnacentral:ncRNA from 1 species
GCUGUUUCACUCCACGGCAUGGGCAGCGGACAAGUAAAGAAAAGGAGAAGACCCGUGCGGCUCACGGUGCGGCAGUGUGGAGACCUGUCGUAAUGCAUUUACUCUUUUACCGGGUAUUUGUGAGGCAUUCGUUAGCGGAGGCUGGGAUGUCAGGGCCGGAAAAAUG